rnacentral:lncRNA from 1 species
GACAUUAGAAUGGUGAGAAAAAAGUCGAGAAGUAGUAGGAGAAGAGAUGAUAAACGAGGCUUGCAGCUGUUAGUAGACGAACAGGAGAAUGAAAGGGACGAAGAAGAAAGGAUAAUAGACAAGCUUUUGAUACAUUACAGUAAGAAACCUUCAUCCUUUGAACCAGGAAAGAUGAGGAGGAAACCUAAAAAUCUCCUUGCUCCUGAAAAUGGUGCUCAUGCUGCCAAGUCCCCUUUGAAUUUAAUUAGCAGAGACGGGGCUGAUGAGCAGGCAGAUUCAGUUCCUCCAGCACGAUCAGCUUCCCUACCUCGUGAACAUAAUCUGGGUUUAUC